GUGCUUGCUUGGAUAGCUCCUAGACUAAAACUGGAACGAUACAGAGAAGACGGGCACGACCCCUGCGCAAGGAUGGCACGCAGACUUGGGAAGCAUUCAAUAUUUUU